rnacentral:rRNA from 1 species
GUAGGGAAUCUUCCACAAUGGACGCAAGUCUGAUGGAGCAACGCCGCGUGAGUGAAGAAGGUUUUCGGAUCGUAAAGCUCUGUUGUUGGUGAAGAAGGAUAGAGGCAGUAACUGGUCUUUAUUUGACGGUAAUCAACCAGAAAGUCACGGCUAACUACGUGCCAGCAGCCGCGGUAAUACGUAGGUGGCAAGCGUUGUCCGGAUUUAUUGGGCGUAAAGCGAGCGCAGGCGGAAUGAUAAGUCUGAUGUGAAAGCCCACGGCUCAACCGUGGAACUGCAUCGGAAACUGUCAUUCUUGAGUGCAGAAGAGGAGAGUGGAACUCCAUGUGUAGCGGUGGAAUGCGUAGAUAUAUGGAAGAACACCAGUGGCGAAGGCGGCUCUCUGGUCUGCAACUGACGCUGAGGCUCGAAAGCAUGGGUAGCGAACAGGAUUAGAAACCCCUGUAGUCC